rnacentral:lncRNA from 1 species
AACAUGUUAAGAAACAAAUGAUUAAAUAUGAGUAUUCACACUAACAAAUGAACAGGAUUAUAUCUCUG